rnacentral:rRNA from 1 species
CCUACGGGUGGCAGCAGUGGGGAAUAUUGGACAAUGGGCGAAAGCCUGAUCCAGCCAUGCCGCGUGUGUGAAGAAGGCCUUCGGGUUGUAAAGCACUUUCAGUGGGGAAGAAAGCCUUGGGGCUAAUACCCUCGAGGAAGGACAUCACCCACAGAAGAAGCACCGGCUAACUCCGUGCCAGCAGCCGCGGUAAUACGGAGGGUGCGAGCGUUAAUCGGAAUUACUGGGCGUAAAGCGCGCGUAGGCGGUCUGAUAAGCCGGUUGUGAAAGCCCCGGGCUCAACCUGGGAACGGCAUCCGGAACUGUCAGGCUAGAGUGCAGGAGAGGAAGGUAGAAUUCCCGGUGUAGCGGUGAAAUGCGUAGAGAUCGGGAGGAAUACCAGUGGCGAAGGCGGCCUUCUGGACUGACACUGACGCUGAGGUGCGAAAGCGUGGGUAGCAAACAGGAUUAGAUACCCCAGUCGUC